rnacentral:misc_RNA from 1 species
GUAGGUGAACCUGCGGAAGGAUUAUUACUGAGUUUAGGGUCCCUUGCGGGCCCAAACCUCCAAACCCCUUGGUGUCUACUACCCUGUUGCUUCGGCAGGCCCAAUAUGGGGUACCUGCCGGAGCCUUAAGUGUAACAAUCUGGUUAUGAAAUGUCUGAUCCUUCCGAAAAACAUAGAAUUGUUUAAAACUUUCAACAACGGAUCUCUUGGCUCCCGCAUCGAUGAAGAACGCAGCAUCUGACUGACUUCA